UACGUAGGGUGCGAGCGUUAAUCGGAAUUACUGGGCGUAAAGCGUGCGCAGGCGGCGCGUUAAGACAGGUGUGAAAGCCCCGAGCUUAACUUGGGAAUUGCGCUUGUGACUGGCGUGCUGGAGUGUGGCAGAGGGAGGUGGAAUUCCACGUGUAGCAGUGAAAUGCGUAGAGAUCGGAAAGAACACCAACGGCGAAAGCACUCUGCUGGGCCGACACUGACACUGAGAGACGAAAGCUAGGGGAGCGAAUGGG
rnacentral:rRNA from 1 species